GACGAACGCUGGCGGCGUGCUUAACACAUGCAAGUCGAACGGAAAGGCCCUGCUUUUGUGGGGUGCUCGAGUGGCGAACGGGUGAGUAACACGUGAGUAACCUGCCCUUGACUUUGGGAUAACUUCAGGAAACUGGGGCUAAUACCGGAUAGGAGCUCCUGCUGCAUGGUGGGGGUUGGAAAGUUUCGGCGGUUGGGGAUGGACUCGCGGCUUAUCAGCUUGUUGGUGGGGUAGUGGCUUACCAAGGCUUUGACGGGUAGCCGGCCUGAGAGGGUGACCGGCAAAAUGGGGAAAGAGAAACGGCCCAGACUCAUGGGGGGGGAAGGGGGGGGAAAUAUGGAAAAGGGGGGGGAGGCCGGAUGCAGAAACGCCGGGUGGGGGAGGAGGGCCUGGGGGUUGAAAACGGCUUUCGCCUGGAAAGAAGGGGGGGGAAGGGAAGGGGGUAAAGAAGAACGGGCAAACUACGUC
rnacentral:rRNA from 1 species